rnacentral:rRNA from 1 species
UACGGAGGGGGCAAGCGUUGUUCGGAAUUACUGGGCGUAAAGGGCUCGUAGGUGGCCAACUAAGUCAGACGUGAAAUCCCUCGGCUUAACCGGGGAACUGCGUCUGAUACUGGAUGGCUUGAGUUCGGGAGAGGGAUGCGGAAUUCCAGGUGUAGCGGUGAAAUGCGUAGAUAUCAGGAGGAACACCGAUGGCGAAGGCAGGUCUCUGGGCUGACACUGACGCUCAUGCACGAAAGCGUGGGGAGCAAACAGG